rfam:Yersinia pestis CO92 complete genome
UUAGAGGCUUGUCGUUGUGAAAGUCAGAAUAUUAAAGCCAGUGCGAGAAGUUAUCAUCGAAAUAGACGUGUUCAUCAAAAUAUAAGCAAGCAUGCGGUACCAGGUCAACCUGGGGGUGUUUGUCAGUGUUGAGUCGCAGUUGGUCAUUAUUGAGUAGUCGUGGUCAGCAUGAGUAUGGAAGAGGGAGUGACAUCAAGGAGAGCGAUUGUCAGACGUUCAUUUCUGUACGACAAACAUUUCCGUAGGGCAAAUAAAUAUCCUCCGGCAUAGCCGGAGGUUUUU